UUUCCACUUUACAGUGUUAGAGGUAGAAGAGAGGAGCAUACCAUGGGGUGAAAGAGAGCGAGAACUGCAGCUUGUCAGAGAUUACAAGCCUCACAAAGAUGUCCAGCAUCUCAGAAUUAUGCUUCAUGGACCACCAGGUGCUGGAAAGUCCAGCUUCAUCAA